rnacentral:rRNA from 1 species
CCUUGCCAGCCCGCUCAGAACUCAAAGGGAAUUGACGGGGCCCGCACAAGCGGAGGAGCAUGUGGUUUAAUUCGAUGAUACGCGAGGAACCUUACCUGGGCUCGAACGUAAGAUGACUGUAGGUGAAAGCUUACAUCUCUUCGGAGCAUUUUACGAGGUGCUGCAUGGUUGUCGUCAGCUCGUGCCGUGAGGUGUCGGGUUAAGUCCCAUAACGAGCGCAACCCCUACCUUUAGUUGCCAUCAGGUAAUGCUGGGGACUCUAAAGGAACUGCCUACGCAAGUAGUGAGGAAGGCGGGGAUGACGUCAAAUCAGCACGGCCCUUACGUCCAGGGCUACACACGUGCUACAAUGGCCGAUACAGAGGGCAGCUACCUGGUGACAGGAUGCAAAUCUCCAAAGUCGGUCUCAGUUCGGAUCGGAGUCUGCAACCCGACUCCGUGAAGUUGGAUUCGCUAGUAAUCGCGCAUCAGCCAUGGCGCGGUGAAUACGUUCCCGGGCCUU